CUUUUGAAAUACUGGCAGUAUCAUAGCCAAUGAGGUUAAUCUGAGGUGUGAUUAUUGCUAGUUGAAAACUUUUCCCAAUAUUCUGCUGUGUAGAUUAGGACAAUGGGAACUGGCUUCAAGUACUUCCCUAAUGAGA